rnacentral:lncRNA from 1 species
UCUGCUCAUAAAUAUUAGGUGUAUUUUGAUAAUAAAGAAUUUAAUUUUUACAAUCUUUGACCAAUAUUUAGUUUAAUUAUAAGCACUUUUAAGUAUAAAAUUUGCAUGAACUUAUUUAUACUCAAAGUCAUUUCGAGAUGACACUUAGUUUUUAGCAAUUGACGUUAUAUUUUAAGAGAAAUUUAAAGUUACAAUCCAUCUUAGAAGACUUAUCCCUGUUUCAAAUAUGUCUAUCAUUUUUUAUCGGAGGGAGUAUUUUUGUUAAUUUGGUUUAUUUCAAUAUUUUUAUUAAAUUUGUGACAGAUUAAUAUAUAUCCUAUUUUGACCUUAAAAACUAUGUUGUAUAAGUAAUAUUAUUUCGUUAGUAUGGAUAACUACAGAUGUAUUGUAUUAAUACAUUCAUUAAUUCAAUCUGAACCGCUAAAAAAGGAGACCCUAGUGGAACAAUGGCUAGAUAUUUUUCUUUUUCUCCGAUUGACGUGGAAUUUUCGGAUUUGUGAUAGCGAGCAACCAACUUAUUUUGUAAAACACUGCGUAAUAUUUGUUCACUGCUAACAAGACACAAGGUUCUAAAUCUUAGGAGCUCAGAUAUAUAUUUUCUUUUUCUUUUUUUGCGAAUCGCUCAGUAGAGACGCACUCACAUACACGCACCUACAGCCGCCCCUAGAAAUAGACGCAUGCAACCCUACCCCUGUGAGUAUGUGUGGUAAUAGAUCAUGGUUCUUAUUUCUCUUUUACAAUCCAAC